ensembl:lncRNA
UAUAAUGUGACAAUAUUGUAGAGAUUUACUUCUCUAAGGUUCAUUUGCCCUUCUUCUGGCAAUGGUCCUGAUAUUUCCCUUCCCAGCUUUAGCUCACACUAGCCUUAGAGGAUGAAAUAUGUGACCAGGUCUAAAGUCAAGCGGUGUUUCACGUUCCCAUGACCACAAUUACUGAUUCAGUGGUUGGUACAAUCAGAACAAAUAUCAGGACUUACUGGAAAUACUGAAACAAAGACUAAUCUCUCCUUCCUUUGACAGGGUAGGUGGGACUAGAACUAAAGCAGGCAUCUUGAAAUCAUGAGGACAAGGAAGCACUAUGGAAGCUCAGAACCAGGAGAGCCCAUUGAUGCCUGCACUAGAAGAUAAAGCAGAGCGGUUUAGAAUGAAGGUGACGGAGAAGAGCCAAGUGAAGAGAUUGAAUGCACUGAUUCUGAGGCUCCAUGCUAGAAUUGUUCCAGGGCCUGUGUCUUCAGAAAAUACUUCAGUGAGCUGACAUUACCCCUGGGCACUAUGUCUACAUAUAUGCAAAGGUAUUUGUGAAGAGAAAGAUUAGGUGGCAGGAUGGGGGUAGAGAAGAGGUCCUAACUGCAAAUUAGCUUUAAGCAAAGCUUCUGGAUAAGCCCUGAGAUAAGCCUGUUCCUUUUUAUGCUCUUCUGUAUCAUUUCUAACACCCUAUCUGUGAGUCAUUCUAUUCCAGUGUUGAAUUUGCUGUGACAAGAUCCCUCAUAAAAGUUAUUAAAUCAUCACUCAGCAGUGGGCCUGACAUUUAAAUCAAGACAUGUUGCUUUUAUUCCAAGUUGCAAAUCAAAUUGUUUUGGAGUUUGACUCUGUUUCCUUUGAUUCAGCAUUAAGUUAUGUUACUAUAUUUCUGCUGUUUAGAGAACAAACUGUCACUGCCUGCUACUUAAAUUGACCCCCUCCCAGUCCUGUGCCCUUCUGGGAUGAGGUGUCUUGCCAGAUGUCAAUGGUUUGUGGUGAGCUACUGGGAACAGUUAGCAACAAGCUGAUGUUCUUGGUGGGGCCCAACACUGGUGUGAGGGUCAGAGUUGGGAAUCAGAGUAGGAAAGAGUCUGACAGAAUAUUUCUUUGCAGGGAGGCAUGGUCAUAGUUCCAGCUUAGAAGCCAAAAAUACCAGAGAAGUAAUCCAAAAAAAGAGUCUUCAUUGGAGGAAGAAAUAAAAGGCAUAAAAAGAGAGUGUGGCCA